rnacentral:rRNA from 1 species
UGGGGAAUUUUGGGCAAUGGGCGAAAGCCUGAUCCAGCAAUGCCGCGUGUGUGAAGAAGGCCUUCGGGUUGUAAAGCACUUUUGUCCGGAAAGAAAUCCUUGGCUCUAAUACAGUCGGGGGAUGACGGUACCGGAAGAAUAAGCACCGGCUAACUACGUGCCAGCAGCCGCGGUAAUACGUAGGGUGCAAGCGUUAAUCGGAAUUACUGGGCGUAAAGCGUGCGCAGGCGGUUUGCUAAGACCGAUGUGAAAUCCCCGGGCUCAACCUGGGAACUGCAUUGGUGACUGGCAGGCUAGAGUAUGGCAGAGGGGGGUAGAAUUCCACGUGUAGCAGUGAAAUGCGUAGAGAUGUGGAGGAAUACCGAUGGCGAAGGCAGCCCCCUGGGCCAAUACUGACGCUCAUGCACGAAAGCGUGGGGAGCAAAACAGGAUUAGAUACCCUGGUAGUCCACGCCCUAAACGAUGUCAACUGGUUGUUGGGGAUUCAUUUCCCUAGUAACGUAGCUAACGCGUGAAGUUGACCGCCUGGGGAGUACGGUCGCAAGAUUAAAACUUAAAUGAAUUGACGGGGUCAUAGCUGUUUCCU